CGCUGCCUCAGCGUGGUUCGACGAGCAGUGUCAUGUCCGCGCCCAGGAUUCGAACCAACGAAACACUGGGCCGCCUGCAGCGGAGCGCGCAAACUUAACCACUCUGCCACGGGGCCAGCCCCCCUUCCGGGGCCCUUUUGCUGCUGGAUGAGCCUGGUUCUCAGAUUGACAGAGUAGCAAAUAUCUGCGACAAGGAAGAAAAGAAGAUGUCUCAGAGACAAACCACAUCCGCUUUUCCACUUCGACAUGAAAGUGUGCAUGGAGCAGAGGAGAAGCAAAUAGCAAAGCAAACAAGCUUCUCGAGACUGACGAUGUGGUGGUGCUAUCCUGGAUUAGGAGGAGUCCUUCUUCCUGAUUGCCUACUACUGUUAAGAGCACUAAAGUAAGCUUUCCUGGCUGAUGAAGUCCAGCACACAAUGAAAAUGGCAGCUAAUCCUGAGUCAAUCUGCUGGAACUUAAAAGUUUUAUAUUAUUCUUUGGGGAAAGAAAUCCCUGACCUCUGCAUACCCGCCAGAUCAGAAGUCCCUCCAAGGAUACAUUUCUGCUUGAUGCAGUGAUUAACAUGGAGUUAAUUCUCAGCUGUGUGAAAAUCCAAAGACUUCUGUCUGGACUGAAUGCAAUAGGUUGCACGUAACAGGUAAGCAGAAAAUAGAUGAAUUGAUAACCAUGACAUAUGUAAGAAGAAGGUGCUGAUGUGAAUUUUUGCAAAAGUAUGUUAUAAAUACAAAGAGAUGUAUGCAUUAUCAGAGAUCUAACAUUAUGUGAAACAGAG
rnacentral:lncRNA from 1 species